rnacentral:lncRNA from 1 species
CCCCUUUUCCUUCACCUUCGCUUCUUUCAGAAGCUCGAUAAAAAGUAAAUUGUAGAAGACCAGCCACUGAAUGGCACCUAGAUACCUCUAUCAUCAUGGACUCUCCCAUGACUUGCUCCUUUGUCGUAGCCCUAUUCUCUUCCGACGAUAUGUCAAGGUAAUGUUUGAGGAAAUGGGUCUGAGGGAGCCCAUCAGUAACAACUAAAAGGAUG